AGUGAACGCUGGCGGUAGGCCUAACACAUGCAAGUCGAACGGCAGCACAGUAAGAGCUUGCUCUUACGGGUGGCGAGUGGCGGACGGGUGAGGAAUACAUCGGAAUCUACUUUUUCGUGGGGGAUAACGUAGGGAAACUUACGCUAAUACCGCAUACGACGUACGGGUGAAAGCAGGGGGUCUUCGGACCUUGCGCGAUUGAAUGAGCCGAUGUCGGAUUAGCUAGUUGGCGGGGUAAAGGCCCACCAAGGCGACGAUCCGUAGCUGGUCUGAGAGGAUGAUCAGCCACACUGGAACUGAGACACGGUCCAGACUCCUACGGGAGGCAGCAGUGGGGAAUAUUGGACAAUGGGCGCAAGCCUGAUCCAGCCAUACCGCGUGGGUGAAGAAGGCCUUCGGGUUGUAAAGCCCUUUUGUUGGGAAAGAAAAGCAGCAGGUUAAUACCCCGCUGUUCUGACGGUACCCAAAGAAUAAGCACCGGCUAACUUCGUG
rnacentral:rRNA from 1 species